AGAAGAAAGGGAGGCUCUUCGGAGCUUUCGCUGAAGGAGGGGCUUGCGUCUGAUUAGCUAGUUGGAGGGGUAACGGCCCACCAAGGCGACGAUCAGUAGCCGGUCUGAGAGGAUGAACGGCCACAUUGGGACUGAGACACGGCCCAGACUCCUACGGGAGGCAGCAGUGGGGAAUCUUCCGCAAUGGACGAAAGUCUGACGGAGCAACGCCGCGUGAACGAUGACGGCCUUCGGGUUGUAAAGUUCUGUUAUACGGGACGAAUGGCGUAGCGGUCAAUACCCGUUACGAGUGACGGUACCGUAAGAGAAAGCCACGGCUAACUACGUG
rnacentral:rRNA from 1 species